CAGGUGGCGGUAGGUUAGGUGGGAGAAUGAUGUCACAAAGCAGGCAGUUUAAAGGUCUGCGAUAGCCAAUAGGGAGGUCCGAUUCUCAACAAGACAGGAUUGGCUGGCAGAGGUGGUCGGUUUAAAGGUCUGGGAUAGCCAAUAGGGAGGUCAGAUUCCCAACAAGACAGGAUUGGCUGGCAGAGGUGGUAGGAAAGCUGUAACAGCACCUCUGGGGAGGUGAAAUCUACCAGACAGACAUGAUAGUCCCACUUUCCCCCAGGCUCUCAUGUUAGGGAGAUCAUGUCAAUGUUUCUGAUAAAUGUUCAUUAAUAUAAUUAACUAACAUUUAUAUUUUAUACGUUAUGUUUCAUAUUAUAUAAUAGCAUGCAUUUAUGAUUAUACAGUACAUACACGAUAUCCUUGGAGAGAAAGGAAAGGGACGUCUAAGUUGAGCAAUUAUAGUUGUUCUGAAACCAUUUCAGUGAAUCUGAUUAAUGAAUUUACUGCUGCUUUUUAAUUUAAUUUAAUGUUUUUUGAGAUGGAAUCUCGCUCUGUCACCCAGCCUGGAGGGCAGUGGCGUGAUCUCGGCUCACUGCAAGCUCCACCUCCCAGGUUCACGCCAUUCUCCCGCCUCAGCCUCCUGAGUAGCUGGGACUACAGAUGGAGUCUCGCUCUGUCGCCGAGGUUGAAGGGCAGUGGCACGAUCUCGGCUCACUGCAUCAUGCGCCUCCCCGGUUCAAGCAAUUCUCAUGCCUGAGCCUCCCAAGUAGGCUGAAGUCCAGUGGUGUGAACAUGACUCACUGCAGCCUCAACCUCCUGGGCUCAAGCAGUCCUCUGAUCCUCCCACCUCAGCCUCCUGAGUAGCUGGCAUACCCCCAACCCUGG